GUCCCCUCAGAAUCCCUCUAGGAAACCCCUGCUGCCCUCUCCCCUGUACCCAGAACACCAAGAUCUCCUGCCUCUUUCUCUACAUUUGGUGGCCCUUUGCCCGCCUUCACUGAUAGAUUUUUCAAAUUCCACUUUUUCCAGGUCUCUUCCAAAGGUUCAGACUCACACUGAUCUUUCUGCUUUCAAGUCUCCAAUAUCCUGGACCCUGAGUCCAGUAUGUUUGAUGUCAUAAUGAAGGGGCAGUGGAAACUGUUCUCCAGGAACCCCUGAAGCUAAAAAACAGCCUCCAGUUCUGAGGAAGUGGGGUGGAUCAGCCAGAAAGGAUGUUGACCCCCACAGAAAUGACUCCUCAGUGUCUGCUCCUGAACUUGCCAUGUUUUGGAUCAAGAAUCGUCCCUAAGAAGUCAUUAUGGAUCACUGCUCUCAGGCCUUGCACUCAAAAUGCAGCCCCAUCAACCUCACCUGGGAAUUUCUUAAAGUACACACCUGUACUCCAGCUACUCCCAAGGCUGAGGGCCGACUUCAAGCUGGUUGCAGUUCCCACGGUCCAGGCCCACGGCCCAGCCCUUUGGGCUGCUGCUGCUGAAGACGAUUCAGAGAACAAUGAAGAGGAUGAUCCUACAGCAGCCUCGCCCGACGCGCCGCAGUACGCGUCCUGGGCGCUGGGGGGCACCAGGAGGCCCCCGCAUUGCGGAGCCUGCGGGCCGUAA
rnacentral:lncRNA from 1 species